rnacentral:rRNA from 1 species
GUAGGUGGCAAGCGUUGUCCGGAAUUAUUGGGCGUAAAGCGCGCGCAGGCGGUUCUUUAAGUCUGAUGUGAAAGCCCACGGCUCAACCGUGGAGGGUCAUUGGAAACUGGAGAACUUGAGUACAGAAGAGGAAAGCGGAAUUCCACGUGUAGCGGUGAAGUGCGUAGAGAUGUGGAGGAACACCAGUGGCGAAGGCGGCUUUCUGGUCUGUAACUGACGCUGAGGCGCGAAAGCGUGGGGAGCAACAGGGAUUAGAUACCCUGGUAGUCCACGCCGUAAACGAUGAGUGCUAAGUGUUAGGGGGUUUCCGCCCCCUUAGUGCUGCAGCUAACGCAUUAAGCACUCCGCCUGGGGAGUACGGCCGCAAGGCUG